AGUGAAUGCCGACCAUUAGAGACGCCGGUCCCUGUGAAGAUCCUAGGGCAGGAGUGCACGGCAUUACACAAGACUUCUUGUGAAUGAAAACUAGAUGUGGUAAACAUCCAGAAAAGGCAGAGACAAGAAGAAAAUGCACAGUAUUGGUACUGGGAUGUUUGAGAUGAGGUCUACAUGGCCCUGGCUGUCCCUGUUAAUCUGUCUAGUGGGCAGGGCAGCAUCUGCAUGGCCUGCAGAGUUGAUCUUUGUACAUUUUUUUGUGGGCUGUAUGUAAAUGGAUUGUUCUGACACUCCAUUCCACAGUGUUCUCUUCUGGGAAGGUUAUGGGUGAGCUGCUGGCACAGCUGUACAGCCUGAGCAAAGUGAAUGGAAUCAUGAAUGUGAGCGGCAGUUCACCAUCUUUGUGACUGUAAAAUUGGUUAUGAGCUAUUUCCUUCUUCAUCCAGCAGUGGUUACUUGGGAGUGCUGCAAUAAACAUUCAGUUGCAUAUA